rnacentral:rRNA from 1 species
CUACGGGAGGCAGCAGUGGGGAAUUUUGGACUAUGGGGGCAACCCUGAUCCAGCAAUGCCGCGUGUGUGAAGAAGGCCUUCGGGUUGUAAAGCACUUUUGUCCGGAAAGAAAUCUCCUGGGCUAAUACCUCGGGGGGAUGACGGUACCGGAAGAAUAAGCACUGGCUAACUAGCGUG